rnacentral:rRNA from 1 species
UCUUGUGGUUGUACCGGCUUGUCAAAGUUAAGCUGGGCUGGGCCUGGUUAGUACUUGGAUGGGAGACCGCUGGGGAUACCAGGUGCCACAGUGG